rnacentral:lncRNA from 1 species
CUUGCAACUCAAGACAUUAUCCAACGGGAGGUACUCAGCAGCAGCCUCAGCCUUCGCAGUCUUUUGUACUGAGGAUCGAACCCAGGGGCACUUAACCACUGAGCCACACCUCCAGCCCUUUAUUAUAUUUUAUUUAGAGACAGGGUCUCACUGACUUGCUUAGGGCCUCGCCAAGUUGCUGAGGCUGGCUUUGAACUCCUGAUCCUCCUGCCUCAGCCUCCUGAGUCGCUGGGAUGACAGGCGUGCACCACCAUGCCUGGUUCCGGUUGUUUUUGCUUUGGGAGACUGGUUUAAAAACUCACAACUUCCUUUGUCCCUGGAUGAGUCCCUCCUCACCAGCACAGAGUCAUUCUUUGAUCCACAACACUGUUUGGGCUACAACAGACUUAGUGUCUAAACCCUCCCUCUUGCUAUGACCUCUGCUUCCUUCGAUUCGAGAGGAAAACAUCUGCAGAGCAAGAGCCUCCAGAACCGGGACGUCUCUCUCAUCUCAAAGUGAGAUGUCAUCACCAGACGCAGUCCCAGAAAUCGCCAACGUCUGCAGAGCUCAUCUGGAAGUGCCCUCUGCUCUCUUCUGCAACCUCAAUUUAUGCCGCGUGCCCUCUGUCUCCCGAGCUCCAGCCACACCGUAUCUCCUUAGAUCUCCGAACCAUCCAAGCAUUCAUCAGCCCAGGGAUCUUUUCACGCCUCAAAUUUGA